GAUGAAGAACGUAGCGAAAUGCGAUAAGUAAUGUGAAUUGCAGAAUUCAGUGAAUCAUCGAAUCUUUGAACGCACAUUGCGCCCGCUAGUAUUCUGGCGGGCAUGCCUGUCCGAGCGUCAUUUCAACCCUCAAGCCCCCGGGCUUGGUGUUGGGGAUCGGCGAGCCUCCGCGCCCGCCGUCCCCUAAAUCUAGUGGCGGUCUCGCUGUAGCUUCCUCUGCGUAGUAGCACACCUCGCACUGGGAAACAGCGCGGCCACGCCGUUAAACCCCCAACUUCUGAACGUUUGACCUCGGAUCAGGUAGGAAUACCCGCUGAACUUAAGCAUAUCAAUAAGCUGAGGA
rnacentral:misc_RNA from 1 species